UGUAUAGCGGUUCAUUAACGUCAUUAAUGUAAUGCAUCCUGUUUUCAAAAUGGCAACUUUUGGAUAAUACUUAUAAAACACGAGGGCUUAUACAAGAAAUACGUUUUCCAUUUUACAUCAGCAAGGAAGAAUAUUUAUAAUAUAGAAACCGUUUGAUUUUUUUUUUUUUCUUUGUCCAGGGGCAGUGGUGAAGGACUUUGCAAAUGUUGCAUUCGUGUUCGGUGACAUUAUUUAAUGCAAACAAAAAUGAUCGAUCACUGUUGCCUGAAAUCAUAGUUACAGAAAGUAAAAGAACCGCAUUAAAUAGUUACAACGUUUUGCUGUGAACCUGAACGGGUUAAGCUUUCUGGUAAAGUUAUACACAACGAGGCACAGCCGGACGCUAGCAUUUCACUCGAGACUACAUGAAAGAAGCACUGUAACUAUUUAGAGAAUGCUCUGGGAUGCGUGAGUGGUUUACUGCUAAAUAGGGUUUUAAAGCAGAAUCGUAAAAUGGAUUAUCCGAGAAAUGGGUUUUUAAAAGGGCUAUAUGUUUUGUCUGUGGAUGUGUGUACCACGAGCAUCAGAGGUCACGUCUACGAUAAAGAAGCAAAUAUUAAAGGUUCCAGCAGUGAAAAGCUGCAGGUAUACAGAUGAAACAAAUCACAGCCCUAGGCAUUUCAACACAGACAGCAACUUUCACUACCUGGAGCAGGAAAACAGGAAAACCAUUUGACAACUUCAUCAGCUGGCAGGAUCGUCGAGCUUCUGAGCUUGUCACAUCGUGGAACAAUUCCUUCACAAUGAAGGUAGGUGUAGCAUGUGUAACAACAAAGAGUAGGCAGAAAACACACUGCAGGCUGUAAUACAUGAAUCUCACUGGAAAGCAGAGACUGUGCUUUGAGCAGGCCAGUUCCAAUUAAGAAGACUUGUAGGAAAUCGUGGACUGGCU